rnacentral:rRNA from 1 species
UACGGAGGGUGCAAGCGUUAAUCGGAAUUACCGGGCGUAAAGCGCACGUAGGUGGUUUGCUAAGCCAGCUGUGAAAUCCCCGGGCUCAACCUGGGCACUGCAGUUGGAACUGGCAAGCUAGAGUAGGGUAGAGGGGUGUGGAAUUCCAGGUGUAGCGGUGAAAUGCGUAGAUAUCUGGAGGAACAUCAGUGGCGAAGGCGACACCCUGGACUCAUACUGACACUGAGGUGCGAAAGCGUGGGGAGCAAACAGG